UAAUGCAUAGGAAUCUACCUAGUAGUAUAGGAUAGCCACUAGAAAUGGUGGGUAAUACUGUAUAAUCCCUGCGGGGGAAAGAUUUAUCGCUACUAGAUGAGCCUAUGUCAGAUUAGCUAGUUGGUGGGGUAAUGGCCCACCAAGGCUGUGAUCUGUAGCUGGUCUGAGAGGAUGAUCAGCCACACUGGAACUGAGACACGGUCCAGACUCCUACGGGAGGCAGCAGUGGGGAAUAUUGGACAAUGGGCGCAAGCCUGAUCCAGCUAUGCCGCGUGAGUGAGGAAGGCCUUAGGGUUGUAAAACUCUUUCAGUAGGGAAGAUAAUGACGGUACCUACAGAAGAAGUCCCGGCAAACUCCGUGCCAGCAGCCGCGGUAAUACGGAGGGGGCAAGCGUUGUUCGGAAUUAUUGGGCGUAAAGGGCAUGUAGGCGGUUUGGUAAGUUAAAGGUGAAAUACCAGGGCUUAACCCUGGGGCUGCUUUUAAUACUGCAGGACUAGAGUCCGGAAGAGGAUAGCGGAAUUCC
rnacentral:rRNA from 1 species